CCUAAUCAGACUUUCUAAUUAAACAGACUCUAAACACAUGUAUACUCUAUCCAGUCUCAUUAACCACUAACCACAGAUUUCCCUUUCUAUUCUUCUUCUUCUUCUUCUUCUUCUUCUUCUUCUUCUUCUGUGUGUAUUUGUUACUGAGUUCCAGCUCUGCAGUAAACAAUCAGAUGUGUGGUUGGGUCUUCUAAAGACUGUUUACAAAAACUGGUAAGCUCUGUUACUCUGUUACCAUUGUUACCUAUACUGUAACCAGUCUCUCUUACCACAGAUUUCUCUUUCUUUCAUUUUUGUUCUUUUUCUGUGUGUCUUUGUGACGGAGUUUCAGCUCUGCAGUGAACAGUCAGAUCUGUGCUUGGGUUGUCUAAAGACUGUUUACAAAAACUGUUCCAGCUCUGCAGUGAACAGUCAGAUCUGUGGUUGGGUCGCCUGAAGACUGUUUAGAAAAACUGGUAAGCUCUGUUACUCUGUUACCAUUGUUACAUAUACUCUAACCAAUUUUGCUAAUCACAGAUUUCUCUUUCUGUCAUUGUCUUUUUCUGUGUGUAUUUGUGACGGAGCUCCAGCUCUGCAGUGAACAGUCAGAUCUGUGCUUGGGUUGUCUAAAGACUGUUUACAAAAACUGCGUCUUUGCCUGUGCCGCCAAUUGGAGGCAUGGCAUUUCUUCACUAUGCCUCUAUGGAAUCCAGCGGCUCCCAGUGCAAUUAAUAGCUAAAUCCAGAGCUGGCUGUAUGGAGCUGCAGGGCUGUGCAGGGCCGCCAGGAGGCGCUGCUGCUUCUGAUUUAGUCAGGGCUGAUUCAGCUGUGGGCUCAGCGAGCACUGAUGCUCACCUCCUCACACUGCAAUACUCCAAAGAAUACUUUACAUAACAUGUUACUACUAAAAUUAUUAAACACUAACACAUUACUGUCCCUUCACAGAAGGAGGAGGUUAUCUUUUUCUUUUUUCUCCACAUAGUUAUUGUUAAUAAUAAUAAUAAUAAUAAUAAUAAUAAUAAUAAUUUUUAUUAUUAUUAUAUUAUUAUUACUACUAUUAUCAUCAUCAUACUGUGAAUCUCACACCUAUUCUCCAGUCUUCUGGAUGUCCAGUCAUGUUCAUCAUUUCCCACUCAUUCAUCACCUGUGAUCAGGUAAUAAAGAAGUUAUUAAGCAAGAAGUUAUCA
rnacentral:lncRNA from 1 species